rnacentral:sRNA from 1 species
AGUGUCCUUGAUUUCCAGUGGCUGCUGUUGUUUGAGUUUGGUUUGGAGCAAAACUGAGGUAGUCCUAACAUUUCUGGGACUGAAUCCAGGCAAGAGAAAGAAGAAAAAGAAGAAGAAAAAGAGGAGGAAAAAGGUAGGGAGAAAUAAAGGGAGGAGAGAAGCAUAGUGAAAGAAAAAAAAAGUCCCUUUUCGACAUCACAUUCCUGUGUUUUCCCUCAGCCUGGAAAACAUAUUAAUCCCAGUGCUUUUACGCCCGGAAACAAAGAGACUAAGCCAGACUGUGGGGGAAAGGGAGAUAAGAAGGAUCCUGGAACUUUAAAGAGGGAAAGAGUGAGAUUCAGAAAUCGCCAGGACUGGACUUUAAGGGACGUCCUGUGUCAGCACAAGGGACUGGCACACACAGACACACGAGACCGAGGAGAAACUGCAGACAAAUGGAGAUACAAAGACUUAGAAGGACAGCUCCUUUCACCUCAUCCUACUUGUCCAGAAGUGGAUUACACAAUGACAUGGAGAAUGGGACCCCGUUUCACUAUGCUGUUGGCCAUGUGGCUAGUGUGUGGAUCAGAACCCCACCCCCAUGCCACUAUUAGAGGCAGCCAUGGAGGGCGGAAAGUGCCUUUGGUUUCUCCGGACAGCAGUAGGCCAGCUCGGUUUCUGAGGCACACUGGGAGGUCUCGCGGAAUUGAGAGAUCCACUCUGGAGGAACCAAACCUUCAGCCUCUCCAGAGAAGGAGGAGUGUGCCCGUGUUGAGACUAGCUCGCCCAACAGAGCCGCCAGCCCGCUCGGACAUCAAUGGGGCCGCCGUGAGACCUGAGCAAAGACCAGCAGGCAGGGGUUCUCCGCGUGAGAUGAUCAGAGAUGAGGGGUCCUCAGCUCGGUCAAGAAUGUUGCGUUUCCCUUCGGGGUCCAGCUCUCCCAACAUCCUUGCCAGCUUUGCAGGGAAGAACAGAGUAUGGGUCAUCUCAGCCCCUCAUGCCUCGGAAGGCUACUACCGCCUCAUGAUGAG